rnacentral:rRNA from 1 species
AUUGAACGCUGGCGGCAGGCCUAACACAUGCAAGUCGAGCGAGCGGCGGACGGGUGAGUAAUGUAUGGGGACUGCCCGAUAGAGGGGGAGAACUACUGGAAACGGUAGCUCAUACAGAAUACUUUCGGAUAACACAUAUGUGAUUAGCGAGUAGGUGCGGUAAUGGCUCACCUAGGCGACGAUCCCUAGCUGGUCUGAGAGGAUGAUCAGCCAGACUGGGACUGAGACACGGCCCAGACUCCUACGGAGGCAGCAGUGGGGAAUAUUGCACGAUGGGCGCAAGACUGAUACAGCCAGGCCGCGUGUAUGAAGAAGGCCCUAGGGUUGUAAAGUACUUUCAGUCGGGAGGCGUUACCGACAGAAGAAGCACCGGCUAACUCCGUGCCAGCAGCCGCGGUAAUUC